rnacentral:misc_RNA from 1 species
GAAAUGCGAUAAGUAAUGUGAAUUGCAGAAUUCAGUGAAUCAUCGAAUCUUUGAACGCACAUUGCGCCCGCUAGUAUUCUGGCGGGCAUGCCUGUUCGAGCGUCCUUUGGACCCUCGGGCCCGGGUGGAUUCGUCCCCCAGCGGCCCGGCGUUGGAGGCCCGCGGCUGCCGCGGCCCCCUAAAUACAGUGGCGGACCUCUCCAGGCCCUGGCGUAGUAAACAAUCUCGCCUUCGGCUCCGGAGCAGUGCCUUGCCCCCAGCACCAACUUAUAAGUCUGGACCUCGAAUCAGGUAGGAAUACCCGCUGAACUUAA